UAAAGUGCAAGAAUUUAUGCUUAAGAAUUUCAUGUGAUAUUUUGCACAAUAACAAUGGCCAAAUAAAAGGAAGAGACAUAAAGGAAAGGGCAGUUCCCUUCCCUACAUCAAUACACAAGGAAUUUUUAAUAGAUUAGAAGGAAGCUUUGAUUUUUUUUAAGUCGAUAAUGAAUGAGAAUUUGGCUGCCGAAUAAAAGGAAAAGAAAAAAAAAAGAAAAAGCACAUUUAGCACAAGAAACCAAGUAAUUGUUAUUUUUUGGUUGCAUAGGAAAAAGAGCUUGGAAUUGUAAAGCAAGUGAUGAAGAUCCAGAUAGGACUCGUUAUUGCAGAUAAAAGCAGUGCAAAUGAUAGAGAUGGAAGGGUGAAAAACAAAUGAAAAAAAGAAACUUGGCUUCUCAAAUCUCAAAGUCAAGGGCAUGGUCAAGGAGAAGAUCAAAUAGCUAUCAGGACGAAUCAACAUAUUCUUAAGGCUGCUGACAUGAAGGGAAUGAGCACAGAGAACAAAUUACCAGAAGUAGUAAACAACACAUUCGAUCCAAAUCGAUCAAGUAAAAGAAGAGUCCGAAGAGGACCAGAUCCUAUCCACAACAGGUCUUGAUGACAAAGUUCAAGUGGUUUCAUUUCUUCAACAAGGAAGAGCACUAAAUACUUGCUUGUAAGUUUUAACACUGACAAUAAUAAAAGAAACAACUUCGGCUAGUUAAGUUAUGGAGGAAGCCUGGUUCUGGAAGACAAUUUAGUGAAAUUAUAGAGAGAACUUUAGUUAUGUUUGCAUGAUCAGUACUAAGUUCCAGGGAGAUGGAGAAUAUUAUAGUGAAAUUCUUUUGUAUCCUUUCAGCUCUAGCUAAUGUUUGGUUCAAGACUAUAUUGUAAGGUGCUCUUUAAGGCAGUUAAAUUGUACUACAUUUCCAUGCAAAACUCUUUACUUUCAAAGCCUUCCUAGAAACCGUUUUUUUCUCUUUUUCACAUAUUUGAUUUUUGGUAAUAUUUCAAUCCAAUUGAUAAAGUAAUUUUACAAUGUUUAUAAUGUUGUGUAA